UGGGGAAUUUUGGACAAUGGGCGAAAGCCUGAUCCAGCAAUGCCGCGUGUGUGAAGAAGGCCUUCGGGUUGUAAAGCACUUUUGUCCGGAAAGAAAUCCUUGGCUCUAAUACAGUCGGGGGAUGACGGUACCGGAAGAAUAAGCACCGGCUAACUACGUGCCAGCAGCCGCGGUAAUACGUAGGGUGCAAGCGUUAAUCGGAAUUACUGGGCGUAAAGCGUGCGCAGGCGGUUUGCUAAGACCGAUGUGAAAUCCCCGGGCUCAACCUGGGAACUGCAUUGGUGACUGGCAGGCUAGAGUAUGGCAGAGGGGGGUAGAAUUCCACGUGUAGCAGUGAAAUGCGUAGAGAUGUGGAGGAAUACCGAUGGCGAAGGCAGCCCCCUGGGCCAAUACUGACGCUCAUGCACGAAAGCGUGGGGAGCAAACAGGAUUAGAUACCCUGGUAGUCCACGCCCCUAAAACGAUGUCAACUAGUUGUUGGGGAUUCAUUUCCUUAGUAACGUAGCUAACGCGUGAAGUUGACCGCCUGGGGAGUACGGUCGCAAGAUUAAAACUCAAAUG
rnacentral:rRNA from 1 species